ACUAGUGCUUACCUACUGUGCUUUUUUUUUCUUUUUUCUUUUCUCCUUCAAAUCACCUGUGGGUUUUUUAAAUGUCCAAUCACCCUCGGUUUUACAUUUAUUAUUAUUUUACUGUAUGUGCGUGAGAGUUUUGCCUGCAUGCAUAGCUGCUUGCCACAUGUGCCUGUAGAGGCCGAAAAAGGACACGGUGUCCCCUGGAACAUGAGGCACAGACAAUUGUGAGCCAGCAGGCUGGAUAGAUUCAACUGAACAGCAAAGAAGAAUGGGAACCCAAGCAUACUUGAUGAUGGCUUGGGUGACUUGUUCAUGGAGAACCUACUGUGGGAAGACCAGAAGGAGACACAAGUGUGAGACGGUGCAGAGCUGACUUCACAUUGCAGCCAGGACUUCUGCAGUCCCCAGAGGGGAGAGAUGACAAGCAUAGGAAGAAAGUGCCUAAAGUAUAUUGGAAAGAUCUAUAGAUCACUAUAAAAUUGUCAAAAUUGGUUUCCUUAACCUGUGCUCCCUUUUGUUAAACACAGCACUUUCUGCUGGUCUUUAAGUGUUGUCUGGAAUUCAGGAUCCAUUGUGACUAAUUAAAAGAGUAUCAGAGC
rnacentral:lncRNA from 1 species